rnacentral:lncRNA from 1 species
CCAAACCCAACUCAUAAAGCACAGGAUAAGGAGGUCUUUUGACACAGUCUGGAAAAGGCCAUCUCACAGUAGUGCAUCUUGGUUCUGUUCAUAUCUUCCUCAUUUUAAGUAAUUAAGAAGGUCUUCUACAGAGGAAUAAGCUAAGUACCAUGAAGAGCACUCAACAAAGUAAGA